rnacentral:sRNA from 1 species
CGCUCCUGUAAUGUUUAAAAUACAUGAUUAGUCCGUGCCAACUUCAUCUGAACUUAAACAACUUAAAAAAGCACGAUGCCUUUCACCCGAACUGCGCUAAAAUUAUUCCAUUUUCAUUAUUACCGGUGGAGUAUGAUAUACUAAUAUAAUGCUGGUAAUCAUUUUAGCUGUACAGCAUCAAUAACCAUACAGAAUAUAGAAUACUAACCAUAUAGCCCCUUCAUACACCGAAAAUUUCUUAAAAGAACUUUCUGGAUUAGAUCCCAGGGUCCGCCGUACCUCCUCGUCCUCUCGGGAGUUCUAAGGGAUGUGCUCCUGGCUGGACUGUGGCAGGCACUGUCUGUCCUCCUGCGGGCCAAAGCCAUGAUGCCACUACUGUGUCGCUGAAUCGACAAUGUGGCGUCCCGUCCGCUGCAGCAGGGACCACUGAUCGACGGCAGUAUUGAGGGAUCACGCCCACGGGAAUCAAACGCUGGUCUUCAGCCUCGAGGCGCUGGGCUUAUGUACCAUAUCCAUUGCCGAAUCGUAUCCCAGCAGGACAAAAGCGAACCCGUUGCAAGAGCCCAAAUCUAACAAGCCGACGUCACAUUUCGACCUGGCCAUUGAAAACUAUCUCAAGGACUUUGGCUAUGGCAACCAAGGGAGGGAUACGCGGACUACCAGACUAUAGAUAGAUCUCGUUGUUAAUAGGUUUAAGGAUACACACAUCUGUACAUUUAGA